rnacentral:lncRNA from 1 species
UCCACUGCAAAGAUUAAGAAAAAAACUCUUGUUACAUCUAAACACGGUGAUUGAACACAUAAAUUUUUCCUUUUAUUGGCAUGGAUUUGUAACUGUAUCAAUAGUGAAAAUCAACAUUAAAGCCACCAUAAUGAUUAAGUCAUUAAGAAAACAUCAAGAAUAGUGCAGUGGCAGGACAAAAACCUAUGGCUUGAUAUUGAUGUUGCAUUUUAGCUCUUGCUGAAGAUCCUCAACAGUGAGAAUUUUCCCACUUGUAACUGGAACAGAAAGUUUGGAUAUUACCUAAUAGAUGAUGAAUGAGUCGAAUGGCAACUUGCCAUUAAAAAGAAGAAACAUAUAGGGUAAUUAGCACAAAACGUCCCUACCUUUAGAGGUUAUUGUGGAAAACGUCUUUACCUUUCAUUUUUUGGUAUUUUUGCCCUUAUUUGAAUCUUUCGUUGCGCUGAAGGUCCUUUUCACUCUUUUGGAACGGAAAAUGACAAUUAUACCCUCUUAUUAAAACAAAAAACCAAAAAAAAAAAAGAAAAAUUCAGAACAAAUUCCAACCCUAACCCUAGACUUAUAAAAAAGAAUUGAGUCCCCAAAUUAAUUCAGAACAAUUCACUAGCCUAAAGGUCGCAGCCGAUAAAUCAUCUCUUUCAUUUGCUCGAUAGCUUGUGAAUCGGGUUCAUCCAUGGAGGAUGCAGAUGAGAUAGGCAGGUUGAAGUUUGUGUUUGAUGAAUUUGAAUGAUAAUCUGAUCUGGACUUCUUGGAUUUCUGAGGAUUAGACGAACGAUUCGACUGAUGAAAAUCAAGAUUUUGGAACUGUAAUCCAUUUGGUUUGAUCAGUUGACUUUCUGAUCUGCUUCUCUUGUUAGGACUAGGCUUAUUAUUAGCACCUGAAAAACUGGAUUGAAUGACAUAUUCAUCAGUCGAAGCUUGUGAUACUGUUUUGUUGGUGUAAUGUUUUACAGUGGAUGCAGAUGUGCCGUCUGAUUUGAUGAGGGCGCUUGAAUUUGGAUUCCAUGAGUCUUUGCAAUCAGAGAAAAGCAUGGAAAUCUUAGCCAAUCAACUGAUGUUCUGUUUUGCUGUUGGUUGCUGAUAACAAGCAAUCAAUGGAUUCUAGAUAGCCCGGAUUCGAAAUUCCAGCCUUGAUUUCUUGAAGACCACCAAAAACUUGUCGAUUUUCCAGGCCGAAUUCAGCACCAAGGCAAUUUUGUUGAUUAAUCAUUGUAGAAUUAGGCCUAUUAACUUUGGCAGAACUCGUUUGGCCAUUAAUGGCGACUCCAGAACUUGUCGAUUUUGGAGUCAUUGCCGACAUAUUUCAGUUUAAAGAACCCAACUGCUGAAUCAUCUCAAAUUUUUGGAGCGAUAGAAUUGGACUUAAAAAAUAGUUUGAAAGACAACCAUUCGACUUGGAAAUUAUCAGAACGGUGAAUUGUUGUGAAUUCAUGGGUCGUAUGUGUAGAGGAGAGUGAGAGAUUUCCGAUGGUAUGGAGAUCCAGUGGUUGGCCUGAGUUUUUUGGCUUGAAAUGUGGAAGUGGAGGGGGGAGGAAGAGAAGAGAAAGUGUUCUUUUUGUUAUUUUCAAUAUUUUAAAUAUUGGGGACUCAUUUGCGCUUUUUUAAAAGUUUAGGGGUAGGGUUGCAAUUAGUUUUGAAUUUUUCUUCGUUAUUUUUUUAGUUUUUUGUUUUAAUAAGAGGGUAUAAUUAUCAUUUUCCGUUCCAAAAUAGUUAAAAGGACCUUCAGCACAACGAAAGGUUCAAAUAAGGGCAAAAAUGCCAAAAAAUGAAAGAUAUGGACGUUUUCCACAAUAACCUCGAAAGACAUGGACGUUUUGCGCCAAUUACCCAAACAUAUAAGAAAAGGCAAUCUACCUUUUCAAGGGUUGCCCAAAAUUCUAAAUUAACUAGAUGAGAAUUAUCAACAUUUAAUUGUCACUACAUGACUUAAAACCAGUAAAAUAAUUAAAUUUCAGCUUGUAUGUGAAAUUAUUUAAGUGAAUAAUUGAUAUUUUCAAAACCCAUAAAUCUAUUUGACUUCUGCAUAUAUGCUAGGUUGGAAAAGCAUAUGGAUUAAUUCUAAAAUCCCUUUUGGCACAUUCUUAUAACCACCUUCGUAAAUCAAUCCACAUCUACCAUACACAUCGCUGGCACCCAUAAAAAUUAUCAAUCGAAAAUCUGCAGAUGCAAUUCCAAUAGAAAAUUCAAGAUUAUCCCCAUUCCUCACAACGUCAACGAUGUUAAACCAAAGGAAAAACAAUUUAACACUAACCUCAGAAAGGCUGGUCAGCU